rnacentral:rRNA from 1 species
CCUACGGGUGGCAGCAGUGAGGAAUAUUGGUCAAUGGACGAGAGUCUGAACCAGCCAAGUCGCGUGAAGGAUGACUGCCCUAUGGGUUGUAAACUUCUUUUAUAUGGGAGUAAAAUGUUCCACGUGUGGGAUUUUGUAUGUACCAUAAGAAUAAGGAUCGGCUAACUCCGUGCCAGCAGCCGCGGUAAUACGGAGGAUCCGAGCGUUAUCCGGAUUUAUUGGGUUUAAAGGGAGCGUAGGUGGAUAGUUAAGUCAGAUGUGAAAGUUGAGGGCUCAACCGUAAAAUUGCAGUUGAAACUGGCAGUCUUGAGUGCAGUAGAGGUGGGCGGAAUUCGUGGUGUAGCGGUGAAAUGCGUAGAUAUCACGAAGAACUCCGAUUGCGAAGGCAGCUUACUGGACUGCAACUGACGCUGAGGCUCGAAAGUGUGGGUAUCAAACAGGAUUAGAUACCCUGGUAGUC